UCCGGAGGGUGCAAGCGUUAUCCGGAAUCACUGGGUUUAAAGGGUGCGUAGGCGGCUAAAUAAGUCAGAGGUGAAAGCUUGCAGCUUAACUGCGAAAUUGCCUUUGAUACUGUAUAGCUUGAAAGGAGCUGAGGUCAACAGAAUGUGGCAUGUAGCGGUGAAAUGCAUAGAUAUGCCAUAGAAUACCAAUUGCGAAGGCAGCUGGCUGGGCUUACUUUGACGCUGAGGCACGAAAGCGUGGGGAGAAAACGGG
rnacentral:rRNA from 1 species